CUCUUGACUCGGUAAGACUCUCAUCGCAUCGUGAAGAAGUGCACUAGAGGACCAUAGCAACCUUUCCAUAAAACAAACUACUAAUACUAGUAGGGAAGAAGCAAAUUGGUUGAAGCAGCAUUAGAGAACCAAAACACAACUAGGUAUGUUUGAAAAAAGGGUCCCCUAUGGAAGAGUAACCAUAGAGAAUCAGGAAGUCCAGCUGGAACCCAUG
rnacentral:misc_RNA from 1 species